ensembl:lncRNA
UCUUGCUAAAUUGCCCAAGAUGGCCUAGAAUUUGCAAUCCUCCUGCCUCAGCCUUCAAGGUGCUGGAAUUAUAGGUGCUUGCCAUUGCACUAAGCCCAGGAUUUAAGGGUCAGGGGUCUUUGUAAGAUCUUUUUUUUUUUUUUUUUUUGGUACUGGGGAUCGAACUCUGGUCCUUGCGCUUGGGCAGCAGGUGGUGAAACCCCUGAGCUAAAUCCCUGGCCCUUUGUAAGAUCUUUUCAACACUUCUCACCUCCUAGUGGGAGGGAACAUGAGACUUCUUUGGGAUUUUGAACCUGUUUUUUUGAGACAAGGUUGUGCUUGUAGUUUGGAUUGGCCUUGAACUCACAAUGUAGCCCAGGCUGGCCUAGAAUAUGGGGCCAUCUGCCUGCCUCAGCCUCCUCCGGAGUCCUGGGAUUAGAGGUGUGUAACACCACACUUGGCUGGGAUUUUGAAACCUGAGCAGGGUAAUGAUGGAAGUAGAAGGAGGCUGAUUCUAUAGAAAUGAUGGCAGAAUGCUUUCUCCAUUCAGCUGUGUCAAAUAUGUGAAUCCCAAGAGAAACAUAUUGUAUCUGAAAUAAGCCUUAAUGUGAAGUAGUUUUCUUUAAUUAUCCUUUAGCUUUAUCCUUGCCCUUACAGAAACAAAAUAAAUGACCUUUUCCAGUGAUCCUCAUUUCUCCUUUCUUAGCCAAGGAUCACGUGAUAGGAGUAAGGACGGAGGCCAGCCAGGACCAAACUUCCUCACUGCCCAACUUCAUUUAAUUGAUCACUAUUUAGAAAGGCCAAUCAGUUAAAAUCCUGUCCCUUCACUGGGUAGGUUACUUUUUGGUCAUAAUAAAUACAUUUAACCAGAACUCUCACUGAACAUUUAUCUUCCCCUUUUUUCCUGGGGGAAAGUAGCUAUUCCUGUUUGCAAAAUCAAGACAAUCACAGUUGCACAUUUUCCCAAAUCUUUGGCUGUAUUGCAAUGGUUGUUUCAUUUUGUAAUCUCCAACUAAACAUUUCCUAACCAUGGAUUAACAAUAUAGUUACUGACUGGUUUCUUUUUAACAGUAUUUAUCCAACAUAACAAAAUAAACUGCAAUUUGUUAUACUUUUUUUUACAAAACAUUUUAUAAAUAUUUUUACAAAAUGUAUACAAAGCAAUUUCAAGUGAGACAUACUAUACAAAUGAAGGUAUUUAAGCAAAUAAAGCCCACACCAUACUGACAGUGAGUGACGCGUCCUCUUGAAGUCGAGUCAGUCUGUAAGGCCUCCCUAAUCUAACAGAGUCUACUGAAUUCUUCCCAACGAAAAUUUCUUUUUCGUAAUUGCCAGUUUAAAAUUUGCCUCAUCUUCAGGCAGUACUUAAGGACACAAAAUCAAAUGCGUAAUAACACAUUCACACGUUUCCACAACAACAAAUGGAAAAAGAGAGAAAAUUAUUUUUGUUACUGAGCACAAGUAGUUCUGAAACUGCUUUGACUGAUGAACCCGGACAACUGAAUCUUGGCCGUCAGAGCCUGCGCUCUCUCACCCUUGGCAGAGGGGCACCACACCAUGUGGGGACCCCAGGCGCAACCUAAUGACAGGGUGAAAUAUAUCUGUAAUCUUCAUUUGUCAUUAUCUAGACUCUUCCCUCCAUAAAAAAUAAACUUACAUACAAGGACAAAGAAAUUUACGCUGUUUCAUUUUGGUAAAUUAGGCUCUGUUUGCUGGGCAAGUGGUAGGGCUUAAAAAUGCUUUAAGAUGGGAUGGAGAAAAAGCUAGGAUUGGAGAACCAGGGUGGGAGAGGGACAGAGAGGUGACAAACGCACAUGAGGCUUAUCUUGUCUCUUAAGAAUUCCAUUGAGACAGGCAUGAUGGUGCACACCUGGAAUCCCAGCUUCUAGGGAGACUGAGCUAGGCGAAGCGCAAGUUUGAGCACAGCCUGGGCAAAUUAGACCCCAUCUCAACAAAAUAAAAACAAAGCUGAGCACAGUAGGGACACGCCUGUGAUCCCAGCACUUUGGGAGGCUGAGGUGGGAGGAUCACAAGUUUGUGUCUCGCCUGGGCAAGUUAAUGAGACCCUGUUUUAUUUUUUUAAAAAAUUAAAAAGAGCUGGGGAUGGAGCUCAGUGGUAGAGCGCUUCUGGGUUUUUUUUUUUUUUUUUUGGUACCAGGGAUAGAACUCAGGACCUUGCGCUUGUGAGGCAGGCGCCAGAACCACUGAGCUAAAUGCCCGGCCCGAGCGCUUCUGGGUUUGAUCCCCAAUACUUUUAAAAAAGAUAAAAAUAAUAAUUCCAUUGAUUUGCAAUAAUUAAUGAAAUUCAUUAGGAGCCUACAUGAAGGCUUGUGGGUAUAAAGUUCCACAGUGAAAAAAAUUUAUCAGGAGGGACCAUUUUGAAUUAAAAAGAAGAGCUUUAUAAAAUCAUGGGGUUCUUGUUAACCCAGAGGCUACCCAAACAGGAAGGUACAACUGGCAAUACCAACUUAGCUAACAGAUUAUAAUACAGGAGAGUGGACCUGGGACUUGGACAUUGGCACAAGUAGGGAAAAACUGGAGACCUCGGAGGGCCUAGGUUUUCCUUCUUCAGUGGGGCAGGGAGAAGGUGAUAAGCCGCUUUCACAAAGCCUGGCUGUCGGGGUUCUCUGUGUGGCAGGAUGGAGGGGCACAGGGCAGGGUCUGCUGCUGCUAUGCUUCUGGAUAAUCAGAAACCUUCUUUUCCACUGCAGGCCCAACACAGCAACAAUGAGGGGCUUCCCCAUUUGUUUUGUUUUUUUUGGUAUCGGGGAUCAAACUCAGGACCGUUUGCUUUCGAGGCAGACGCAGUGCCACUGAGCUACAUCCCCAGCCCCGGGGCAUCCCCAUUUGGGACAUAUCAGAGUGGAGAACAGUGGGUGCUCCUCAGGCAGGGAGACAGCAGAGUAAGCAAGCUGGGGCACACGCCGUGACCCAACAGCUCAGACCCCUGCACCCGCAGAAGGGUGGCCACUGUGUCGCUUCCAGUGACGGGGCCAAUGACACUGAGAACCAAGCAACAGGAAUGGGAUGACCUGGGACAGGUGUAUGAGAGAGGAAAGUAGGGAACAUUCCCUGAAAAGAAGUAUAAAUAAAUAAAGCAGGAAGUCAUGUUACAGACACGAACAGGCCAAACACAGAGGCUGACAGGGCGUGUCCUUCGGCACUCUGCGAAGUGAUGGGCUGGCUGGUUACCUUUGGUUUGUCUGUGUUUUGGUAAUGAUUGCUGCCAGGGUGACUACUGUUCUCAGAUGACAAGGAGCAUCAACAAGGCCAAAGUCCCCUUCAAGUUUAAACUGAAAAAUUACAACAUAGCUUUCUAAUGAAAGUGCUUCUGAUGUUUGGCUAUUUGCUGUGGGAGUGGGUACAGAGGGUCAGGAAACACAACCCAGCAAUGGACAAAAAACAUACACUGUAUGUUGACUCUACCCAAUUAUAAAAUGCAAAACUCUUGGUUUGUUUUCAAUAGUUAACAUGUAUAUGCUUUUACAUAUAUAUACAUAUUAUCAUCCUCAUGGCUCUGUUUGGCCUCCCCUGUACACUGUGCCACUUCACCCAUCUCCAUCCUCCUUUAUGAGCCCGAUGGAUUAUUUUGGGCCAUGCUGUUGCAGCUGUGAACAGAGUGCUCCCUAGGUGGACUCAGCAUGGUGCCCAGGCACGCAGCUCUGCUCCAGGAGCCCUGAAAAGCACCGAAACAAGCAGUACUCGCUCCGCGCUCCUGGCUUGGGGCUCAGUGAGGGCUGAGCGGGGAGCAAUUCUGUGGUCUUCCCCACCUAAAAUCCUCAAAACAGAAACAAGACUAAAAAAAACAGCAAUUAAGAGCUGCAGUUGGAUAUUCUUUAAAAGUAGCUUCUAUCAGUCCUGUUUGAUUUUCUUUAAUAAGUCUGUUCUUCUCAAACGACUUAUGAUUGUCAGAAUUUUACCCAGGGCCAAGUGUACUGUGGUCUCAUUGAGUGACAGUGUUUUUAAAAAAACACACACACACACACACACACACACACACACACAAACACACCAACAGACAGACAGAAAGGACCGUAGCACUUUCAGAACACUUGACUGUGUGGGGCCUAUCAGACUGCUUUCUACCAAGGGCUGAUUUUCCUCAAGGAUCUCCCUGUAACCGUGACAGUAUUGCUCUGAAACAAAGGACGGGGCUAAGAUAGAAAGGGAAACCUUUGUGAUGAGAGAUGAAAGCAGGCGGAGAUAGAGCCUGCUUCCAUUCGCUUCUGCAGGGGAGUAGCUAACUUGUCUGGACUGGGAGGGCGGGCGCUGCUGCUAUUAACACUCUAAGAUACUAUUUACAGCUGCUUCCAAAAUUGAGUCCGUCUCCUACAACACCUUCGCUGUGGUCCGGGAUGAACUUUUCUAGGCAGUUUUCCUACAAGCCAUUGGAGAGAAGUUGGGGAAAUCCGAGCCCACAGAGCCGCCUCCUGCCAGGUCACUCUGGGGCUGCCGCCCAGCCUUUUUGAGCUCCAAGAUGUUCUUAAAUGUUGUUUCUAAAGUCUUGGUGAGCUGGAGGUCUGCCUGUGGCUCCCCAGACCCCUUCAUGAUGUCUGUGUGUAGGACUUCAUUCUUUGGGAGUUCCUCAGUGCUUUGUCGUGGAAGGAGUUGUUACACAUCAUUUCCAAGUGCGAAUCUGCGAGGAUGCUGGACAGUUUGCUCUCGGCACCAUGGUCUGGGCAGGACAAGGUUCUGAGGUGGCCCUCGGGCCCGGGGAACACUUCCCUGGGUCUCUGCGGCUGCCCUUGUCGUCACACAUGCUCCGGUACUGUGCCAAGGCUGCUUUGUCAAACUUCAGGGCUUGGCCGAGACAUUCCGACUUUUUCAAGAUGUUUCCUCCUCCGCGGAGAC